GGAUGCUUGGUGAUGCUGAGAAGCUUGCAGAUGACGAGAAUGGACAAAUACACUACCCAAUAGCAAGAUUAUUUUUGAUGAUCAGAAGUCUUGUCUGAAAAAAAAACAUACGUCAAGUACUAAGGGGAAUGUGAUGCUAAUCUGGGAACCAUAUUUGCCCUAUGAAUGGAAGGAUUGUGAACAACUAUCUGUGAAGAAAUGCAGCACCAAGGUGAAAAAAUGCCAGGCAAGGGUAAAUUCAAUAUGACUACUACGAACAUAAUUUCAACUGACUUCUAUGAAGAAGAUUUCACAGUCACCUGAAGCAACAGCCUGCAGCUGUCAUUAUGGAAAGCCCCCAAAAGGAGCUUGGAAAUCUUGGGAGGAUUUCUUAAAUCUUAUGAAAAAAGAGAAACAAAUAAAGUAAAAGGAGAUUUCUUCUCAAAAAGAAAUCUGAAAAUGUAGCAUUAGAAACCAAGGAGGGCUUAAUCUGUUGACAUUUUAAACUCUUACUACCCAGAUUUCUCAUUCAUUGUUCAUUUUACAUUCUUAUGAGCUUCAUUUCAACAGUGCUUAAAAAUUGCUGCGUAUUCUUAAGCCACUAAAACAGAUGCAAAUUGAGAUGUGGGAUUUCUGGGCUUUAAAAGUAGCUGCAAAACUGUUUUUUAGAAAUGGAUCCCAGACUAACAAGGGAUAAAAAUCAAUGCAUCAAGAGAAACUAGAAUACAAUAUGGUGUGGCUCACAAUUAGAAAAUAUGAGUUCACUUCAUUUUGUUUCUAUCUAAAUCAAUCCUGAAAACUUCACUGAUUGCAUGUCUCUCUUCUUUUCAAUGUAUCCUUUAAAGGGCAGACACAUUGAUGGAAAAUAAAUGGACCAAG